UUAAGUGACAAAGCGUACAAGGUGGAUGCCUUGGCAAUCAGAGGCGAAGAAGGACGUGCUAAUCUGCGAAAAGCUUGGAUGAGUCGAUAAGAGGCGUUUAAUCCAAGAUGUCCGAAUGGGGAAACCCAGUGGGUGAAGAACCCACUAUCAUUAUCUGAAUCCAUAGGAUAAUGAGGCGAACCGGGAGAACUGAAACAUCUAAGUACCCCGAGGAAAAGAAAUCAACCGAGAUUUUGUGAGUAGCGGCGAGCGAAAGCGAAGGAGCCUGUUAGUGAUAGCGGAAGUAUUAGAGGAAUUGGCUGGGAAGCCAAAUCGUAGAGGGUGAUAAUCCCGUACUCGAAAAUACUUUUGUGGUACUGAGCUAACGACAAGUAGGGCGGGACACGUGAUAUCCUGUUUGAAGAUGGGGGGACCAUCCUCCAAGGCUAAAUACUCCUGAUUGACCGAUAGUGAACCAGUACUGUGAAGGAAAGGCGAAAAGAACCCCGGUGAGGGGAGUGAAAUAGAACCUGAAACCUUGUACGUACAAGCAGUGGGAGCCCGCAAGGGUGACUGCGUACCUUUUGUAUAAUGGGUCAGCGACUUAUAUUUUGUAGCGAGGUUAACCGAAUAGGGGAGCCGAAGGGAAACCGAGUCUUAACUGGGCGAAUAGUUGCAAGGUAUAGACCCGAAACCCGGUGAUCUAGCCAUGGGCAGGUUGAAGGUUGGGUAACACUAACUGGAGGACCGAACCGACUAAUGUUGAAAAAUUAGCGGAUGACUUGUGGCUGGGGGUGAAAGGCCAAUCAAACCGGGAGAUAGCUGGUUCUCCCCGAAAUCUAUUUAGGUAGAGCCUUGAGCGGACACCUUCGGGGGUAGAGCACUGUUUCGGCUAGGGGGCCAUCCCGGCUUACCAACCCGAUGCAAACUACGAAUACCGAAGAGUGAUACUCAGGAGACACACGGCGGGUGCUAACGUCCGUCGUGGAGAGGGAAACAACCCAGACCGCCAGCUAAGGUCCCAAAGUCUAUAUUAAGUGGGAAACGAAGUGGGAAGGCUUAGACAGCUAGGAUGUUGGCUUAGAAGCAGCCAUCAUUUAAAGAAAGCGUAAUAGCUCACUAGUCGAGUCGGCCUGCGCGGAAGAUGUAACGGGGCUCAAAUAUAGCACCGAAGCUGCGGCAUCAGACGUAAGUCUGUUGGGUAGGGGAGCGUUGUGUAAGCGGAUGAAGGUUCAUCGAGAGGUGGGCUUGACGUAUCACAAGUGCGAAUGCUGACAUAAGUAACGAUAAAACGGGUGAAAAACCCGUUCGCCGGAAGACCAAGGGUUCCUGUCCAACGUUAAUCGGGGCAGGGUGAGUCGGCCCCUAAGGCGAGGCUGAAAAGCGUAGUCGAUGGGAAACGGGUUAAUAUUCCCGUACUUGGAUAAACUGCGAUGUGGGGACGGAGCAGGUUAGGUUAGCGUGCUGUUGGAUAUGCACGUUUAAGUUAGUAGGUGGGGAGUUUAGGCAAAUCCGGACUUCCUUAACACUGAGAGAUGAUGACGAGGCUCUACGGAGCUGAAGUAACUGAUACCACACUUCCAGGAAAAGCCACUAAGCUUCAGGUUUAUCUAAACCGUACUGAAAACCGACACAGGUGGUCAGGUAGAGAAUACUCAGGCGCUUGAGAGAACUCGGGUGAAGGAACUAGGCAAAAUAGCACCGUAACUUCGGGAGAAGGUGCGCCGGCGUAGAUUGUAGCCCCUUGCGGGCGAAGGUUGAACCGGUCGAAGAUACCAGCUGGCUGCAACUGUUUAUUAAAAACACAGCACUCUGCAAACACGAAAGUGGACGUAUAGGGUGUGACGCCUGCCCGGUGCUGGAAGGUUAAUUGAAGAUGUGAGAGCAUCGGAUCGAAGCCCCAGUAAACGGCGGCCGUAACUAUAACGGUCCUAAGGUAGCGAAAUUCCUUGUCGGGUAAGUUCCGACCUGCACGAAUGGCAUAAUGAUGGCCAGGCUGUCUCCACCCGAGACUCAGUGAAAUUGAAAUCGCCGUGAAGAUGCGGUGUACCCGCGGCUAGACGGAAAGACCCCGUGAACCUUUACUAUAGCUUGACACUGAACAUUGAAUUUUGAUGUGUAGGAUAGGUGGGAGACUUUGAAGUAGUCACGCCAGUGAUUAUGGAGUCAUCCUUGAAAUACCACCCUUUAACGUUUGAUGUUCUAACGAAGAUUGCGAAACGCGGUCUCGGACAGUGUCUGGUGGGUAGUUUGACUGGGGCGGUCUCCUCCCAAAGAGUAACGGAGGAGCACGAAGGUUUGCUAAUCACGGUCGGACAUCGUGAGGUUAGUGCAAUGGUAUAAGCAAGCUUAACUGCGAGACAGACAAGUCGAGCAGGUACGAAAGUAGGUCAUAGUGAUCCGGUGGUUCUGCAUGGAAGGGCCAUCGCUCAACGGAUAAAAGGUACUCCGGGGAUAACAGGCUGAUACCGCCCAAGAGUUCAUAUCGACGGCGGUGUUUGGCACCUCGAUGUCGGCUCAUCUCAUCCUGGGGCUGUAGUCGGUCCCAAGGGUAUGGCUGUUCGCCAUUUAAAGAGGUACGUGAGCUGGGUUUAAAACGUCGUGAGACAGUUUGGUCCCUAUCUGCUGUGGGCGUUGGAGAUUUGACGGGGGCUGCUCCUAGUACGAGAGGACCGGAGUGGACACACCUCUGGUGUACCUGUUGUCACGCCAGUGGCAUCGCAGGGUAGCUAAGUGUGGAAGAGAUAACCGCUGAAAGCAUCUAAGCGGGAAACUUGCCUGAAGAUGAGAUCUCCCUGGGGACUCGAUCCCCCUGAAGGGUCGUCCAAGACCAGGACGUUGAUAGGCCGGGUGUGGAAGCGCAGUAAUGCGUGCAGCUAACCGGUACUAAUUGCCCGUGAGGCUUGACCCU
rnacentral:rRNA from 1 species